UACAGAGGUCUCAAGCGUUGUCCGGAAUCAUUGGGCGUAAAGAGCGCGUAGGCGGCCCUGUAAGUCCGCUGUGAAAGUCAAGGGCUCAACCCUUGAAUGCCGGUGGAUACUGCAGGGCUAGAGUCCGGAAGAGGCGAGUGGAAUUCCUGGUGUAGCGGUGAAAUGCGCAGAUAUCAGGAAGAACACCCGUGGCGAAGGCGGUUCUCUGGGACGGUACUGACGCUGAGACGCGAAAGCGUGGGGAGCGAACAGG
rnacentral:rRNA from 1 species